AUCUUCGGCAAUGGACGCAAGUCUGACGGAGAGACGCCGCGUGAGUGAUGAAGGUAUACGGAUCGUACAACUCUGUUGUUAGGGAAGAACAAGUAUCGGAGUCACUGCCGGUACUUUGACGGUACCUGACGACAAGUCCACGCCUAACUUCGUUCCAGCAGCCGCGGUAAUACGUAGUUGGCAAGCUUUGUCCGGAUUUAUUUGUCGUAAAGCGCGCGCAGGCGGUUUCUUAAGUCUGAUGUGAAAGCCCACGGCUCAACCGUGGAGGGUCAUUGGAAACUGGGAAGCUUGAGUGCAGAAGAGGAGAGUGGAAUUCCAUGUGUAGCGGUGAAAUGCGUAGAGAUAUGGAGGAACACCAGUGGCGAAGGCGACUCUCUGGUCUGCAACUGACGCUGAGGCGCGAAAGCGUGGGGAGCGAACA
rnacentral:rRNA from 1 species